UUUUGUACAUCAUUCCUUAGAUGUCCUUUAUAGACCUUCUUUCUGGAAUGAAUGGAUCAAGAAACUUUAAAAUGGAUAAAGUGACAGAUACCAGAUAUAUCAGUGUGUCAGUAGAUAAUGUGGGUAUGGAGAGAAAUGAAAAUAUAUCAUUAGCUAUUCAUUCUGCAUGUUACCUCUCAGUGGAUGUAUUCAGAACAUUUGUUUCUAGCCCCUUAGUUCUGUGAUAACCAUGUGGAUUAUGGAUGGUUUUUUAACUCUUACUUUGUCUUUACUGUUAAUAUGUUGCCUGAAUUUGCCAGGUAUAUAAUUAAUUAAGGAAUCAUCCACCCUAUGAGCAUUUGUUGAAUUUAUCACACUCAUUAUUUGGAAGAUAUGCUGCUGCAUUAGAGAAUUAACUUUGUAAUUAACUCCCUGUGAACUUGACUAUACUUUGCUUAAAAUGACUAACUUUUAUGUGUGUCACUGUUGAGCAUGUUUCUAUAUUGUCAUAUGGACACAUAAGUAUGAGUUCUCUGGAAUCUGAUCUAUUACGUAAACUGCAUGUUGGGCCAAUAGUGUAUUCUUGUUUUAUUUCAAGUACUAAUAACUGUUUCUAAUUUUGGUCAGGCAAAUGCCAUUAUAACAAUUACACCUGUUAAAGCAUUUAUUCCUUAAAUCCUAUAAUGAGAACUAACAAAUCUAUUCAUUUUGCAUGAAGUUGUGAUUGAAUUAUGCUGUUUGACUAUGAUUAAUAAUAAUAAACCUUUUGUUCUUUUUUCAGGUCAUUUGAGGAGAAAUGCUAAUGGAAAGCCUAUCCAACCUACUCUUCAAAUGAAAGAUUCUUUCACAAACCAAGAAGUAGGAAAAGGAGAUACUUUGAAAUGGGAUUCUACAAGUACUUUUCAGAUAAAGGAAAGUCACAAAAGUUCCAUCGAUAUGAAGUUGCAAAGUGAUUUUCCUGGCAAAUCACUGCCACGGAGUCAAAAUCAAUUACCAUCCAAAAAAUUUGA